UACGGGGGGGGCAAGCGUUGUUCGGAAUUACUGGGCGUAAAGGGCUCGUAGGUGGCCAACUAAGUCGGACGUGAAAUCCCUCGGCUUAACCGGGGAACUGCAUCCGAUACUGGAUGGCUUGAGUGUGGGAGAGGAAUGCGGAAUUCCAGGUGUAGCGGUGAAAUGCGUAGAUAUCUGGAGGAACACCGGUGGCGAAGGCGGCAUUCUGGACCAUUACUGACGCUGAGGAGCGAAAGCCAGGGGAGCAAACGGG
rnacentral:rRNA from 1 species